ensembl:lncRNA
AACAAUGACAGAGCAUUUGAUAUUGCCACAGUUCAUGGAGACUGCAUUUUUUAUUAUUAUUUUUUUGUAUGGAAAAUAGUUGCAUGAUAAUGAAGUGUUGGUGUACUGCUGUCGUUUUGGAUGACUGUAUUCAUCUCACUCUCUUUUCUCUCUCUCUCUCUCUGUUUUCCAGAUUGACUCAAAUAGAACACAGAGGAGAUUCCUGUGGAGUCUGUCCUUCUUUCACCCAGUAAGAGACAGCUGAGUUUAGACUCUGUUUAAACUCAUAUUAGCACAUGUAAGUUUUUGCAUUCACACACAUUCACACACCCUGGCUCUGUCCAAAACCCAGUGAGCCUAGCUAACUACCUUCUAGCAUGCAAAGUCAUAAAUGGCCAAUUUGGAACACUUUAUAUUGCAUAGGCAGCAGCAGCUUGUAACAAACACAGGUGACUCGAACAACAAUUGUUUUAUAUAUUUAGAAAGUUAGCAUUUUGCGAAG